rnacentral:RNase_P_RNA from 1 species
CGAGUUGGUUGGAUGAUCGCUAACCUAGUUAGAGGAAAGUCCGGACUUCAUAGAGCAGGGCGCCAGGUAACACCUGGGAGACGUGAGUCUACGGAAAGUGCAACAGAAAGUAUACCGCCAAGAUUUUUUGGUAAGGGUGAAAUGGUGAGGUAAGAGCUCACCGCUUAAGUGGAGACAGUUAAGGCAUUGUAAACCCCGGCCCGAAGCAAGACCAAAUAGAAAUCCUUUUAAGUUGCUCGCUUAGGAUUUGGGUAGGUUGCUAGAAUAUUGUGGCAACACAGUAUCAAGAUAGAUGAUCAUCUUCAACAGAAUCCGGCUUAUAGACCAACUCAACUU